UUCAAGUGUGUCAGUGGGCUCUCCUGUACCAAAUAUAGGUUAACACACAUGCCCCCCCUUUCGGAUUAUACCGUCACACGGAAUGAAUAUGAACUUGUGCGAUGAAAACUGGAGAUGAAUACUUCAUCUCUGACCCACAUAAUGGCGAUAUAUCAGGCUCGGUAAACGGAUCUGAGCCGUGUUACCGCCUGCUCCUCCGCUGUGAGCUCCCGGUGCGGUGGGAGCUUUUAGCGGCGCGCCUCGUCUCUCAUCUUCCUCCGCCUGGACCCGACUCUCCUCUUCCAUCCUCUCUCCCUCUUUCCAUCUCGGUAUCGGAGGGAGGAGAGGAGGGAAAAACUGAGGCGACACACGCCGGGAAAAAGGGCGACGGAAACGGGAAAAGUGAGGUCGAGAAAUUACCCAGAGCUUCCUCCGUGGGAUUCCAAACUGAAGGGCCCAGUGUGAGGUGGAAGACCAUCCAGAGCUCCCCAGAGAGUCUCCGACGGGGUGCCGAUGUCAUGGCGGUGCCCAGUGCCCAAGAGUUUCACUGGCAGAGCCUGGCUCGACUGCCCAGCGGCCGUGUCUAUCACACUCUGUCUGAAGUGGGGGGGCAGAUGUACAUGCUGGGGGGCUGUGACGCUGCAGGAAGGCCAUGUCCAUCCCUGGAGCUCUACUCCCCAGAGGGGGACCGGUGGAUAAGCUUGCCCCCUAUGCCCACUCCUCGUGCUGGGGCAGCUGUGGCAGUUAUGGGAAAGCAGAUCCUGGUGGUGGGAGGGGUGGGAGAGGACCAGAGCCCUCUGAAGGUGGUGGAGAUGUAUAACACAGAGGAGGGGAGGUGGAGGAAGAGAAGUGCUCUACGGGAGGCACUGAUGGGUGUAUCCAUUACAGUGAAAGAUGGCCGUGCUCUGGCUGUAGGGGGAAUGUGUGCGGACCUGCUUCCCCGUAGUAUCCUGCAGCAGUAUGACCUUCGAAAAGACGUGUGGGCGCUACUUCCUCCCAUGCCGACCCCACGCUACGAUGCUAACACACAUCUGCUUGGCAAUAAGCUCUUUGUGGCAGGUGGCCGUCAGUGUAAGCGACCGUUAAAGGCCUUUGAGGUGUACGACACAGAGACGCGAUCUUGGACUACGCUACCCAUGAUGCCAUGCAAACGUUCCUAUGGGGGUGUGAUAUGGGACCCAGCUGGCAGGCUGUGCCUGUUAGGAGGACUGCGGCAGGGCGGGGGACACCAAAGCUCCAAGUUCACCAAGAACGUCAAUAUUUUUGACACCAACCAAGGCACCUGGCUGAAGUCAGAGGAGACAGUGGCGAUGAAAACAAAGAGAGCUGACUUUGCUGCUGCCUUCCUGCGUGGACGGAUGGUGGUCGCAGGAGGACUUGGUCAUGAGCCUUCAGCACUAGACACUGUGGAGGCCUUUCAUCCUCAGAAGAAGAAGUGGGAAAGGUUGGCUCCAAUGAACCACCCCAGAUGUUCUGCCUCUUCUAUCGUCAUCAGAGACCGCCUCCUGGUAGUGGGAGGAGUCAACCAGUUUGUGGUCCUGAGUAGUAACCUGCUCUGUAAAAGCAGCUCCAAUUCACGAGUGAUAGCCUGUCAACACUGAAGUGGACCGUGCUACCAGCAGGCUAAGAGGAGCGGACAUGUCUGCUGAAGGUUCCCAGUUCGGCGCACGAGAUCCUCUACGUUAAAGAAGAAGAGUAUCUGUAGCCUGUAGUAACUGACGCCCAAAUGAUCGCAGAUGAGCCGUGAUUCCACGUCCUCCUUCCCGAACACCCGUCGUGACUGUAGUGCAAUAUUUAGGAAGCAUCACAAACACUGAGAAAUGAGUGCAAGUCUGGCUGCCUGAUGUAAUGUAUCGGAUAACACUGCCCCCUGCUGGGCGUAACUGGCACUGAGCCCCACAUGUCAGCACACAGAUGCACAAUGGAGGAGCUGGCUCUUUCUUUUUACCGAGCUGAUCCUUGAUACCUUUAUGUAUGCAACACUUCUGCAUUGUACACUGUAGUGCAUACUUGAGGAUGGAACUAUUUUGUAGCUAUCGUGUCUAUUCCUGUGGACAGAAGAUAUGUGGAAAAUGUAUUUAUAUUGCAUAUAUAGUGCUGUCAUAUCUGCAUUCAUUUUAUUUACGUGUAGCUUGCCGACUAUUGAGCAAGGGUAGAUUUUAAUUUAGCUAAAUGACACAACUGCAAUCCUUAUCUCUGAUUUAAUAUGAUCUAGAAACAGUUGAGUGUUUGGUUAAUAAAAUAUUCAGUAACAACAUUUGCACUGAAUCAGUCAACACUGAGUGGGAGCUUUGCCUUCAAUUAUUUCUAGUGUAAUGUGUUGUAGUAAUUACACUUAGAAUGCUGUAAUAAAACUCCUCUGUGCUGUAAUAGUGCACAUUUGUGACCAGAUGUAACACUUUGCAUCCAUGAAAUGAGACUUGUGUUAAAUAACCGUGUUUUUUGUGGUUAAACUAAUUACUGAAUUGCUGUUAUAAGCAAAGGAAGGAAUCCUGUGGGACUUACAGGCUGAUUGUAGACGUUUUAUUCCUGCAGCAAUACACUUUCCCUGCGUUUUAUAAUGUAUAACGUGCUGUGCAGUAAUAUUGUAGUCGUCUCACUCAGGUUAUGUUCUAGGUUGACUUUUGUUCGUCUGUUCUUGUAGCUAACAACUAAAUAAUUUCUUUGGUUCUGUGACAGGUGAUUAAUUUGGGAGUUUUUAUAUUCAUUGUGAUGACAGUUCAGCCUUUGCAAAAUGUUAUUUCAGUCUACACCGUGAUCAUCAUCAGUCCUCGUUCCUACACCAUACUGUAAACAUGUCAUAUUGUUAUAUUCAGUGAAAUAAAAGUUUGUAUUACACUUUUUUCCCCACAAGAUGGCAGAGGUGACACAUCAUUCUGAGUCGUUACGCACUUUCACUCUGCCUACAACACAUUACAGCUGCAUCACAGGUGGUCGAGGUCCAUUUGUUCAUAGAGACACGUUAAUAGCCUCUUGACAUUUAAAAAAAUAUUUAUUUGCUGUUAAGAAAUCUAUUUCACUUUUGUUCAGUUAAAAUGACCAGAAACACUGUUGAUAACGUGAGCAUGCAUAUGUUUGCUGCACAGCCACAGUGCAGAUAUCCUUAACACCCAUAGAAAUGCUUUGAAAUUCAUUGUGUUUUGGUGGAGCUGCAUUUUUCUUCUUUUUUUUUAAAUUGUAUAAUGAUUCCUAUUACUGUUGAGCCUCUUUGAAUAUUUCCACGUGUGUUUGUGUGAAAAGUAAUAAAAUAGGUAAUUGUGAUUAUGUAACUAAAA